rnacentral:rRNA from 1 species
AUUGAACGCUGGCGGCAGGCUUAACACAUGCAAGUCGAGCGGAGACUUCGGUCUUAGCGGCGAACGGGUGAGUAAUACCUAGGAAUCUGCCUAUUAGUGGGGGAUAACGAAUCGAAAGGUUCGCUAGUACCGCAUACGUCCUACGGGAGAAAGGGGGGAGUCUUCGGACCUCUCGCUAAUAGAUGAGCCUAGGCCGGAUUAGCUAGUUGGUAGGGUAAAGGCCUACCAAGGCGACGAUCUGUAGCUGGUCUGAGAGGAUGGCCAGCCACACUGGAACUGAGACACGGUCCAGACUCCUACGGGAGGCAGCAGUGGGGAAUAUUGGACAAUGGGGGCAACCCUGAUCCAGCCAUGCCGCGUGUGUGAAGAAGGCCUUCGGUU